AGAACGACUCUCGGCAACGGAUAUCUCGGCUCUCGCAUCGAUGAAGAACGUAGCAAAAUGCGAUACUUGGUGUGAAUUGCAGAAUCCCGUGAACCAUCGAGUUUUUGAACGCAAGUUGCGCCCGAAGCCAAUAGGUUGAGGGCACGCCUGCCUGGGCGUCUCGC
rnacentral:rRNA from 1 species